CCCCGCAAAUAAAUUACUGAUAUAUUCUCACACAUCAAAUAUUAUUCAAACAGUUCUCAUUUUGAAAGUUCUCUUCUUUCAUUUUGUAGUGGUCUAGGGUCUCACGCAUGUCAAGUGGGUCAAUUCUACUGCACCACAUUCUACUAUUUUCUUUUGGAAAAAGGUUCAGGACUUUACCAUUUUGAAUGGUAGAUUCUGUAACCAUGUCAAGAGUAAAAGGGCCCAAAGUCUAAAAUUUUCAUUUGAUUAUUAGACCUCAUUGCAAACAAAAAAGAAAUUAAACCGCGAAGUCUGUUC
rnacentral:lncRNA from 1 species